rnacentral:rRNA from 1 species
AUUGAACGCUGGCGGCAGGCCUAACACAUGCAAGUCGAACGAGUGGCGGACGGGUGAGUAAUGUCUGGGAAACUGCCUGAUGGAGGGGGAUAACUAUUGGAAACGGUAGCUAAUACCGCAUACCAUCAGCUCUGCCCAGGUGGGAUUAGCUGGUUGGUGGGGUAACGGCUCACCAAGGCGACGAUCCCCAGCUGGUCUGAGAGGGUGAACGGCCACACUGGAACUGAGACACGGUCCAGACUCCUACGGGAGGCAGCAGUGGGGAAUAUUGGACAAUGGGCGCAAGCCUGAUGGAGCCAUGCCGCGUGAGUGAAGAAGGUCUUCGGAUUGUAAAAUACUGUCGGCGGGGAAGCGUUACCCACACAGGAAGCAACGGCUAACUCCGUGCCAGCAGCCGCGGUAAUAC